rnacentral:lncRNA from 1 species
UUGCAGGCGCUGGGGCUCCCAAAGGACGGAGCUUUGAAUCCACCUGGGAGGCUUAAGAGAAAGUGCUGAGUCCCCCAUGCCCUACCCCUGAGACUGCUGACAGGCAUCGCUGAGGGCUGCAGCUUUGGAAUCGGGCAUCUUCUGAGGAAGAGAAAGGCACCACAGCCACGGCACAGAAGACUAGUUCUAGGUGCAAUGUUUUAAGGGGAAGACUUACACUAUGAAGCUAGCCCAGAAGAGGGUGACUAGAGUACUGAGGAGUUUCUACCUGGAAGGGCUGUAAGGAAGACAACUGCUAUGUUGUGAGCGGCUCUAUGGAGAGGCCCAUGUGGAGGGAAGUGAGGAAGGCCUCUGGCCAACAGUCCAGGAGGAAGUGAAGCCCUCAGUCCAACAGCCUGUGUGGAACUGAACCCUGCAAACAACUCUGUGUGUGAGCUUGGAAGUGGAUCCAUAUUCAGUCAAACCUUGAGAUGGGACACCAUGCUCUGCUAACACUUGAUUGUGGUCCCAGCUAGGCCACUGCUGAAGUCUUGACUCAGAGAAACGAUGAUAUAGUAAAUGUUUGUUGUUUCAAGUUGGUAAGUUUUGGGAUAAUUUUUUAUAUAGUGAUAAUUUUUUAUAUACUUUAAAAUAACACAUUGCCCUAUCCUUUGGUUACACUUUUCUCUUGGAACUCUGCUUGCCCAUAUAUUACAGAAAUAUUUUUCAGAUCAUGGGCUGAAAGGUGGAUUAUGGAUGCAAUGUUUAAAUUUAGCAAUGUCAUUUAUGACUGUUCAUAUGAGCUUUGCUGCAUAAAAUGUUGAUAUUAAUUUGUUUCCCUUUAAGACAUUCUUAAUGUUUACCUCUCAGUAUUUUCUUUGUAAUCAAUUAAUGUAAGAUGAAUAUAGUUUGUAGGUUUUACCUUUCUUGAUUCGUAUACAAAACACACAACAUCCAACCAUUGUUAUUUAAAGAUUAUCUAGGAGGAGAUGAUGGAAACUCUGUUUUGGGCCACCUUCUUUACACAUUGGGUCUAUUUCCCCUAACUUGAGUAUAUAUUAAACUAGUGGGGGAUUGAGCUACAAAAAUGCUACUUGGUGAGAAUUUUAUUAAUACAAAUACUCAACUCUGAAGUUACGUUUUUGUGGAAAGUUAUCACUUUGGAAUUUGAAUUUUCUUGGAGCUAAGCCACUGGUAGUUGUAAAAGCUACACCUGUAAAUUUGCUCCCUAGAAGAUACUUUCGUUUAGUGACCACUUGUUUCUCUGUGGAUAAAUUCAAUUAUAAAUUACAA